rnacentral:rRNA from 1 species
AUUGAACGCUGGCGGUAUGCUUAACACAUGCAAGUCGAACGAUGAGAAAGAGCUUGCUCUUUCGAUUAGUGGCGGACGGGUGCGUAACGCGUAGGAAUCUACCUAUUAGUGGGGGACAACUUAGGGAAACUUAAGCUAAUACCGCAUACGCCCUACGGGGGAAAGAAGGGGAUCGCAAGACCUUUUGCUAAUAGAUGAGCCUGCGUAGGAUAGCUAGUUGGUGGGGUAAAAGCUCACCAAGGCGACGAUCCUUAACUGGUUUGAGAGAAUGAUCAGUCACACUGGAACUGAGACACGGUCCAGACUCCUACGGGAGGCAGCAGUGGGGAAUAUUGGACAAUGGGCGAAAGCCUGAUCCAGCAAUACCGCGUGUGUGAAGAAGGCCUUAGGGUUGUAAAGCACUUUCAAUUGGAAGGAAAACCUCGAAGCUAAUACCUUCGAGUUUGACAUUACCUUAGAAGAAGCACCGGCUAACUCCGUGCCAGCAGCCGCAGUAA